rnacentral:rRNA from 1 species
GACGAACGCUGGCGGCAUGCCUAACACAUGCAAGUCGAACGAGACCUCCGGGUCUAGUGGCGCACGGGUGCGUAACACGGGGGAACCUACCCUUAGGUUCGCAAUACCUCCCCGAAAGGGGUGCUAAUACCGCAGAAUCUCUUCGGACCAAAGAUUUCUCGCGUUUGGAUGGGCCCGCGUUGGAUUAGCUGGUUGGUAGGGUAAAAGCCUACCAAGGCGACGAUCCAGAGCUGGUCGGAGAGGAUGAUCAGCUACACUGGGACUGAGACACGGCCCAGACUGCUACGGAAGGGAGGAGUGGGGAAUAUAGGACGAUGAGGGAAGGCGUGACAAAGCAAUGCCGGGGAAGUGAUGAAGGGCUUAGGGUUGUAAAGCUGUUUUACCCGGGAUGAUAAUGACAGUACCGGGAGAAUAAGCUCCGGCUAACUCCGUG